AACGAACGCUGGCGGCAUGCCUAACACAUGCAAGUCGAACGAGACCUUCGGGUCUAGUGGCGCACGGGUGCGUAACGCGUGGGAACCUGCCCUUAGGUUCGGAAUAACUCCCCGAAAGGGGUGCUAAUACCGGAUAAUGUCUUCGGACCAAAGAUUUAUCGCCUUUGGAUGGGCCCGCGUUGGAUUAGCUAGUUGGUAGGGUAAAAGCCUACCAAGGCGACGAUCCAUAGCUGGUCUGAGAGGAUGAUCAGCCACACUGGGACUGAGACACGGCCCAGACUCCUACGGGAGGCAGCAGUGGGGAAUAGUGGACGAUGGGCGAAAGCCUGAUCCAGCAAUGCCGCGUGAGUGAUGAAGGCCUUAGGGUUGUAAAGCUCUUUUACCCGGGAUGAUAAUGACAGUACCGGGAGAAUAAGCUCCGGCUAACUCCGUG
rnacentral:rRNA from 1 species